GUAGGGUGCGAGCGUUGUCCGGAAUUAUUGGGCGUAAAGAGCUCGUAGGCGGUCUGUCGCGUCUGCUGUGAAAACCCGAGGCUCAACCUCGGGCCUGCAGUGGGUACGGGCAGACUAGAGUGCGGUAGGGGAGAAUGGAAUUCCUGGUGUAGCGGUGGAAUGCGCAGAUAUCAGGAGGAACACCGAUGGCGAAGGCAGUUCUCUGGGCCGUAACUGACGCUGAGGAGCGAAAGCGUGGGGGGAGCGAACAGGAUUAGAUACCCUGGUAGUCCACGCCGUAAACGUUGGGCGCUAGAUGUGGGGACCAUUCCCACGGUUUCCGUGUCGCAGCUAACGCAUUAAGCGCCCCCGCCUGGGAGUACGGCCGCAAGGCUA
rnacentral:rRNA from 1 species